UGUUGAAGAAUGAUUUUGAAUGAUGAAGUUUUUUUUAUAGAUAUUUACUGAAGAGCAGUAUACAUGGUAUUUUGAAUAGCGACAUUGUACUUCACCAGUAUGUACUAGCAGUUGUCACUUACAUACUUAAUGGUCCCUUAAUAAGAUUUUAAGCUGGCUUAAACAAUGCAAGUGUAUGCUGGGUCAAAGGAAUAUGUCGGUUCCUGAUAGGAACUCAUGACCUUAAGAGAAUGUCAACGCCCAGAAACUAUACUUGCAUUUUGUGUUCAAAGAGACCAAAAACCAGAGACAGGCGGAAACUCAUAGGACCCAACAAUAAAUCACUGCGUAAAUGUUUACAACAAAAGUUUUUCAUUGAACAGGACAAAAUUAAUCACACUAACAGUGUUAUAUGUAAUAAAUGCAGAAUACGAUGCUCUCGAGAAAUUGACACAAAUGUAAGAUGCCCCAUACAAACUACAAUAUCUGAAUUAAAUAAUGAUGACACGGAGUACGUCCCUCCAACAAAAUAUGCUAGAUGUCAUCCAUGUAAAUCUCCGCCAAGUAUCGCACUGCCUAUACCAUCAGCUGGAGGUGGCCAUUCGCAGUGUGUUGUGUGUAAACGCCGAGGCCCAAAGCUAGUAGUCGUCCCAACAAACGCUAGAUUUAAUUUAUUUUUGGAUAAACUCAUUGUUCUCACAGUUGGUGCCAGAUGUUGUCCAGGUCACUUGUGCAAUGAAAUAUUUUUACCUGAUGCACUUGACAGAAUUUCAUAUUCGCAGUCUUCGUCCAUUUUCAACCGUACUGACUUAAUGGACCUUAUUACGCAAAUCCGAGAUAUGGCAUUGAGAGGAAGCAAGCGGCGAAUUGAUUUUGAUACAGAAAAUGCACUUACAAGCUCAGACAUUUUAAAUCUGACAGGCCUUUCUAAGGAAAACUUUAAUGACCUAUGUUCAAUUGUCCAAAAGGGUAAUUUACGGG